CGUCCUGUUAAAGAGAAUCAAUCUCCUCCGUCGCCGCCGGCAUCCUGUGAUCCUCAGUCGCCGCCGGCAUCCCGUGCUCCUCCGUCGCUGUCAGCUUCCCGUCCUCCUCAGUCCCCGCCGGCGCCUAUUCUCCAGUACAGUCGGCGACGUCCUCUUUUUCCGACGACAGAAUCCCUACCUCCUGUAGCUCAACCAGUGGCGGCGUCUCCUACCCCAGUUGCAUCUUCCCUCGCCGGAACAGCCGGAACUCCAGCUCCAGUCGUUGCACCUCCUCCGGUCGUCGCCUCGGCCAUCGACGCCGCCCAGUCUUCCAAUCCAGUCCCAGUCACUCAUCCUCCACCG
rnacentral:lncRNA from 1 species